rnacentral:rRNA from 1 species
CGGCAGCACGGGGGCAACCCUGGUGGCGAGUGGCGAACGGGUGAGUAAUGUAUCGGAACAUGUCCGGAAGUGGGGGAUAACGUAGCGAAAGUUACGCUAAUACCGCAUAUGCCCUGAGGGGGAAAGGAGGGGAUCGCAAGACCUUUCGCUUUCGGAGUGGCCGAUAUCAGAUUAGCUAGUUGGUGAGGUAAAGGCUCACCAAGGCGACGAUCUGUAGCUGGUCUGAGAGGACGACCAGCCACACUGGGACUGAGACACGGCCCAGACUCCUACGGGAGGCAGCAGUGGGGAAUUUUGGACAAUGGGGGCAACCCUGAUCCAGCCAUGCCGCGUGAGUGAAGAAGGCCUUCGGGUUGUAAAGCUCUUUCAGCCGGAAAGAAAUCGUGCAGAAUAAUACUCUGUAUGGAUGACGGUACCGGAAGAAGAAGCACCGGCUAACUACGUGCCAGCAGCCGCGGUAAUACGUAGGGUGCGAGCGUUAAUCGGAAUUACUGGGCGUAAAGCGUGCGCAGGCGGUUUUGUAAGACAGACGUGAAAUCCCCGGGCUUAACCUGGGAACUGCGUUUGUGACUGCAAGGCUAGAGUAUGGCAGAGGGGGGUAGAAUUCCACGUGUAGCAGUGAAAUGCGUACAGAUGU